rnacentral:sRNA from 1 species
AUUUUUUUGUAUGUGUAAACAAUUUGAUUUGAAUGCAAUUUUUUGUGAUAAAGAAAUGAAUCGCGUUUUGAUUACUUAUGAAAACUGCCCUGUUCAUAAAUGAUUUUGUACAAUGUUUUAAUUACCUUCAAGUUUUAUUUUUGUAAAAAAAAAAAUUGGCAUUCUUUGAUUAAGAAUUUAACUUUGGGCUGUUGUUAAAAUUGUAAAACAAUAUUUUUCAUUUGUAAUCAUUUGUGUUUAAAGUAUUACCUCGAAGACUAAAAAAUUCUAAGAAAUUGUGAUGCAAUUUAUAAACCCAUGUAUGAAAUUACAUGUAUUUGUUUGAAAUAUGUUCGAAAAAAAUCUCCAUAAUUUUAGUGCAUAUUAUAUAACUAUUUUUUAUCUUUUAUCAUGUACUGUGAUAUGUAUAGUUUUCUAUUAAAAUUCCGUUAAAUCUU